rnacentral:tRNA from 1 species
GCCUGGGUGGCUCAGUCGGUUAAGCAUCUGACCUCAACUCAGGUCACAAUCUCGCGGUUCAUGAGUUCAAUCCCCAUGUCAGGCU